UAAAGCCCUUUAAAAUCCCUUGUA
rnacentral:siRNA from 1 species